AGAGUUUGAUCAUGGCUCAGGAUGAACGCUAGCUACAGGCUUAACACAUGCAAGUCGAGGGGCAGCAUCAUCAAAGCUUGCUUUGAUGGAUGGCGACCGGCGCACGGGUGAGUAACACGUAUCCAACCUGCCGACAACACUGGGAUAGCCUUUCGAAAGAAAGAUUAAUACCGGAUGGCAUAAUUAUUCCGCAUGGGAUAAUUAUUAAAGAAUUUCGGUUGUCGAUGGGGAUGCGUUCCAUUAGGCAGUUGGCGGGGUAACGGCCACCAAACCUACGAUGGAUAGGGGUUCUGGAGAGGAAGGUCCCCCANAUUGGAACUGAGACACGGUCCAAACUCCUACGGGAGGCA
rnacentral:rRNA from 1 species